UGGUGUCAGUUUCAGCAGCACACUAAAAUUGGAAUGAUAAGGAAAAGAUUAGCAUGGCCUCUGGGCAAGGAUGACACUCAGGUUCUCUGGAAGCAUCCCAUAAGG